rnacentral:rRNA from 1 species
UCAGAUUGAACGCUGGCGGCAGGCCUAACACAUGCAAGUCGAACGGUAACAGGAAGAAGCUUGCUCUUUGCUGACGAGUGGCGGACGGGUGAGUAAUGUCUGGGAAACUGCCUGAUGGAGGGGGAUAACUACUGGAAACGGUAGCUAAUACCGCAUAACGUCGCAAGACCAAAGAGGGGGACCUUCGGGCCUCUUGCCAUCGGAUGUGCCCAGAUGGGAUUAGCUAGUAGGUGGGGUAACGGCUCACCUAGGCGACGAUCCCUAGCUGGUCUGAGAGGAUGACCAGCCACACUGGAACUGAGACACGGUCCAGACUCCUACGGGAGGCAGCAGUGGGGAAUAUUGCACAAUGGGCGCAAGCCUGAUGCAGCCAUGCCCGCGUGUAUGAAGAAGGCCUUCGGGUUGUAAAGUACUUUCAGCGGGGAGGAAGGGAGUAAAGUUAAUACCUUUGCUCAUUGACGUUACCCGCAGAAGAAGCACCGGCUAACUCCGUGCCAGCCGCGGC